CCUGAAGGCGCUCGAUCUCGUCUGAUCUCGGAAGCUAAGCAGG
rnacentral:rRNA from 1 species